AGCUUUGCUCAGUGGCAGUAUCGUAGCCAAUGAGGUUUAUCCAAGGCGCAAUUAUUGCUAAUUGAAAACUAAGAGAUGCUGGAGCACAUCAGAACAUUUGAAAACUCUAUGAAUCCUGAUAUUUUCUAUUUAAAAAGAG